GUGGGGAAUAUUGCGCAAUGGGGGGAACCCUGACGCAGCAACGCCGCGUGGAGGAAGAAGGUCUUCGGAUUGUAAACUCCUGUCUUCUGGGAAGAUAAUGACGGUACCAGAGGAGGAAGCCACGGCUAACUACGUGCCAGCAGCCGCGGUAAUACGUAGGUGGCGAGCGUUGUCCGGAAUUACUGGGCGUAAAGGGCGCGUAGGCGGCUUUUUAAGUUAGAUGUGAAAACCCGGGGCUUAACUUCGGACGUGCAUUUAAAACUGGAGAGCUUGAGUGCAGGAGAGGUAAGUGGAAUUCCUAGUGUAGCGGUGAAAUGCGUAGAUAUUAGGAGGAACACCAGUGGCGAAGGCGACUUACUGGACUGUAACUGACGCUGAGGCGCGAAAGCGUGGGGAGCAAACAGGAUUAGAUACCCUAGUAGUCC
rnacentral:rRNA from 1 species